CGGGACGGGUGAGUAAUGUCUGGGGAACUGCCUGAUGGAGGGGGAUAACUACUGGAAACGGUAGCUAAUACCGCAUAACGUCGCAAGACCAAAGAGGGGGACCUUCGGGCCUCUUGCCAUCGGAUGUGCCCAGAUGGGAUUAGCUAGUAGGUGGGGUAACGGCUCACCUAGGCGACGAUCCCUAGCUGGUCUGAGAGGAUGACCAGCCACACUGGAACUGAGACACGGUCCAG
rnacentral:rRNA from 1 species